UGGGGAAUAUUGCACAAUGGGGGAAACCCUGAUGCAGCGACGCCGCGUGAGUGAAGAAGUAUUUCGGUAUGUAAAGCUCUAUCAGCAGGGACGAAUAAAUGACGGUACCUGACUAAGAAGCCCCGGCUAACUACGUGCCAGCAGCCGCGGUAAUACGUAGGGGGCAAGCGUUAUCCGGAUUUACUGGGUGUAAAGGGAGCGUAGACGGUGAUGUAAGUCAGAUGUGAAAGCCCGGGGCUCAACCCCGGGACUGCAUUUGAAACUAUGUUGCUAGAGUGCAGGAGAGGUAAGUGGAAUUCCUAGUGUAGCGGUUAAAUGCGUAGAUAUUAGGAGGAACACCAGUGGCGAAGGCGGCUUACUGGACUGUAGCUGACGUUGAGGCUCGAAAGCGUGGGGAGCAAACA
rnacentral:rRNA from 1 species